rnacentral:rRNA from 1 species
UACGUAGGGGGCAAGCGUUGUCCGGAAUCAUUGGGCGUAAAGAGCGCGUAGGCGGUCCGGUAAGUCGGUUGUGAAAACUGGGGGCUCAACCCUCAGAGGCCGACCGAUACUGUCGGGCUAGAGUCCGGAAGAGGCGAGUGGAAUUCCUGGUGUAGCGGUGAAAUGCGCAGAUAUCAGGAGGAACACCAAUGGCGAAGGCGGCUCACUGGGCUGACCUUGACGCUGAGGCGCGAAGGCGUGGGGAGCGAACGGG